rnacentral:rRNA from 1 species
CCUACGGGCGGCAGCAGUGGGAAUAUUGGACAAUGGGCGAAAGCCUGAUCCAGCCAUGCCGCGUGUGUGAAGAAGGCCUUCGGGUUGUAAAGCACUUUCAGUGGGGAAGAAAGCCUUGGGGCUAAUACCCUCGAGGAAGGACAUCACCCACAGAAGAAGCACCGGCUAACUCCGUGCCAGCAGCCGCGGUAAUACGGAGGGUGCGAGCGUUAAUCGGAAUUACUGGGCGUAAAGCGCGCGUAGGCGGUCUGAUAAGCCGGUUGUGAAAGCCCCGGGCUCAACCUGGGAACGGCAUCCGGAACUGUCAGGCUAGAGUGCAGGAGAGGAAGGUAGAAUUCCCGGUGUAGCGGUGAAAUGCGUAGAGAUCGGGAGGAAUACCAGUGGCGAAGGCGGCCUUCUGGACUGACACUGACGCUGAGGUGCGAAAGCGUGGGUAGCAAACAGGAUUAGAUACCCGUGUAGUC